UUUUUAUAAGGAUAACUACGGAAAAGCUGUAGCUAAUACUUGCUUUAUUAUCCUUUGAUUUUUAUCUUUGGAUAAGUAUUUGUUAAGCCUUAUAAGAAAAAAGUUAUUAACUUAAGGAAUUAUAACAAAGAAGUAACACGUAAUAAAUUUAUUUUAUUUAGUGUGUAUCAAUCGAGUUUCUGACCUAUCAGCUUUUGAUGUUAGGGUAUUGGCCUAACAUGGCUAUGACGGGUA
rnacentral:rRNA from 1 species